rnacentral:rRNA from 1 species
AGAACGAACGCUGGCGGCAUGCCUAACACAUGCAAGUCGAACGCGUGUAGCGAUACACGAGUGGCGGACGGGUGAGUAACGCGUGGGAACCUGCCCUGGAGUGUGGGAUAACCGAGGGAAACUUCGGCUAAUACCGCAUACGACCUGAGGGUGAAAGAUUUAUCGCUCUAGGAGGGGCCCGCGUCGGAUUAGCUAGUUGGUGGGGUAAAGGCCUACCAAGGCAGUGAUCCGUAGCUGGUCUGAGAGGAUGAUCAGCCACACUGGGACUGAGACACGGCCCAGACUCCUACGGGAGGCAGCAGUGGGGAAUAUUGGACAAUGGGGGCAACCCUGAUCCAGCAAUGCCGCGUGAGUGAUGAAGGCCUUAGGGUUGUAAAGCUCUUUCGCGCGCGACGAUGAUGACGGUAGCGCGAGAGAGCCCGGCUACUUCGUGCCAGCAGCCGC